CAUAAGUAAAUCAUAUUUUAUGAACUGGAUUGUAUCUCAAAACUAAAUGAUUUUUAUAAAAUGUUUAUAAAAAUAAACAAUUCAAAAGUUUUUAUGAAUAUGUACACGUGGAAAUAAAAAUUAAGUAAGUGGUCGUAAACAAAUUUUAGAGUUUUAAGCUCAAGAGGCUUUAUCUAUUUUAUAUUGUCCCAUAUAGCUAUAUGGGAAAUGGAGAUUAUAAAAAAUCAAUAGAGCUUCAAUUUGUACCCAAUGUAAAAUUCAUAAGAAUGAGCCAAGUUUUUCCCAGUAUAAUUUUUCAAGUAGCCCAGUCAUCUGUAGGCAAAGUCGCUUACCCUUUAUUGUUCUAUAAAACAAGUAUAAAUAGUAAUUUUUUUAUUAUUCAACAAACAAUUUAAAACUAAUAUUUUGAUCUAACAUAUAUUUAUAGUAUUUGUAAAUAACAUCUAACAAAAAAAUUCUAAUAAGAGUAAGAAUAUUUUUAAUUGUUUUUAAAAUUCAAAUAUGAUUAUCAUGAUGUAUUUAAAAUUAUAAUUACAAAGAAAUUGCAUUUUGUCUGUCAUGACGAUAAUGACUUUUAGUUUCAUUAAAAACUCAUCAAGUAACACUGUCGCCUGUUGGUACACAAGAUAAGUUUACGAACAUUACAGAAAACGCACAUAAUUAUACAUUCUGUGGAUUUAAAGUCAUAGUAUUAUUAAAAUCAAAAGCUGAAGGAGAUACUGCACAGAGAAUAGAGUAAUGGAUUUUUGGCCGUUCGCCAAACGUUUACUGAUGACGAUCAUACCCAGGGCGAGUUCGUUGAACAGGAUCUGAACCCACGAUAAGAAAAAUUUUAUGCGGUUUACACUUCAAUAACGUCAAAUGUUUUGUAACAAAGUUAUACAGUAAGUGAUUGCUGUACAUCAAGAGUCUUUGAAGAUCUGUUUGUUUCCCGUUUUGGCGUUUCCGACAACGUUUACAACUACCGACAAAGUGACACUGUUGCUGUUUAUUUUUUUCGUUAUGUUCUUAUUCAUUAGACGUGAAAAGAUUGCCGGUAAGCUUGUUCGCGAGUACUUACGGUUGGAAAAGUUUCUUGCGAUUGUCCAUGAGGCUAAAUACUGUCUCCAGAGGAAACCGUCAUCAGCAGAACGACGCGAUUUGCAUUUAAAAAACGUACCAGCUCGCUCAAAACAUAAUUUAGGGCUAUACUCGCAUAAUAUAUUAUUCGUCCUUUAAGAAGUACUCUCCAUACCCUUAUCCGAUUCUAUUGUUCUUAUUGAAACAUUUUUCCGUAUAAUCAUUGCAAUUGUUACGGUGAAUAAUUUAUAAAAUAAAAAUGAUUGUGCUGUAUUUUUUAGUUCUCGUUAACUCGUAAUUAUUGUUGUUAUUACUAUUGCAUUUGGUUGUGAGUUAAA